AUUGAACGCUGGCGGCAGGCUUAACACAUGCAAGUCGAGCGGAGCGAGGGUGCUUGCACCUUAGCUUAGCGGCGGACGGGUGAGUAAUGCUUAGGAAUCUGCCUAUUAGUGGGGGACAACAUUCCGAAAGGAAUGCUAAUACCGCAUACGCCCUACGGGGGAAAGCAGGGGAUCUUCGGACCUUGCGCUAAUAGAUGAGCCUAAGUCGGAUUAGCUAGUUGUUGGGGUAAAGGCCUACCAAGGCGACGAUCUGUAGCGGGUCUGAGAGGAUGAUCCGCCACACUGGGACUGAGACACGGGCCAGACUCCUACGGGAGGCAGCAGUGGGGAAUAUUGGACAAUGGGCGGAAGCCUGAUCCAGCCAUGCCGCGUGUGUGAAGAAGGCCUUUUGGUUGUAAAGCACUUUAAGCGAGGAGGAGGAGCUCUAGGUUAAUACCCUAGAUGCUUGGACGUUACUCGCAGAAUAAGCACCGGCUAACCCUGUGCCAGCAGCCGCGGUAAAAC
rnacentral:rRNA from 1 species